ACGAACGCUGGCGGCGUGCUUAACACAUGCAAGUCGAGCGGAAAGGCUCCUUCGGGGGUACUCGAGCGGCGAACGGGUGAGUAACACGUGAGUAAUCUGCCCUUCACUUGGGGAUAACCACCGGAAACGGUGGCUAAUACCCGAUAUGACAGUCCUUCGCAUGAGGGGUUGUGGAAAGUUUUUUCGGUGGAGGAUGUGCUCGCGGCCUAUCAGCUUGUUGGUGGGGUAAUGGCCCACCAAGGCUUCGACGGGUAGCCGGCCUGAGAGGGUGACCGGCCACACUGGGACUGAGACACGGCCCAGACUCCUACGGGAGGCAGCAGUGGGGAAUAUUGGACAAUGGGCGGAAGCCUGAUCCAGCAACGCCGCGUGAGGGAUGACGGCCUUCGGGUUGUAAACCUCUUUCACCGAUGACGAAGCGCGAGUGACGGUAGUCGGAGAAGAAGCACCGGCCAACUACGU
rnacentral:rRNA from 1 species